UGGAUCAGUGAUGACUGUGGGUACUAUAUGAGUCGUGAAUUAUGACUACAUGUCUGCGAUUCUGAGGUUCAC
ensembl:snoRNA